GACAGAGGGUGCAAACGUUGUUCGGAAUUACUGGGCGUAAAGCGCGUGUAGGCGGCUAUGCAAGUCGGAUGUGAAAGCCCUCGGCUCAACCGGGGAACUGCAUCCGAUACUGGAUGGCUUGAGUUCGGGAGAGGGAUGCGGAAUUCCAGGUGUAGCGGUGAAAUGCGUAGAUAUCUGGAGGAACACCGGUGGCGAAGGCGGCAUCCUGGACCGACACUGACGCUGAGGAGCGAAAGCCAGGGGAGCAAACGGG
rnacentral:rRNA from 1 species